GGGGUGAUUGACGGCGUAUACCGCCGCCACCCACUGAGUGGCGACGAAGAGCAUCACUCUCUCCCCAAUCAGCGAGAUUGGGGGACACCUGGCCGGAGGCAGAGGAGCCAUUUUAAAAGGAGCAGGAGGACUGACAUUCGGCAGAAGACCAGGAGCGAGAGGCAGCUGAGAAGCAUCUGGUGCGUUUCACUUAAAAGGGAACCGGUUAAAGACUUUUUGAAGUAAAGAAGAGCAUCUCAUCUGAACCUGAUGUCUAUCAUGGAUAUUUAACUGCAGUUCUGUGAGUAUCCCAACUUAACCAUGAAGCAUAACUGCAAACUGUAAGUCAUUCAUUUCUCAUUACUCUUGGGCACAUUGUAUUUUGACUUCCUGGUGAGUUAACCUGUUACCUGAGUAUUAAGGAUGUUUUAUUGGUUCAUGGGUUACUUAGGUGUUUGGUUUAUGUUGGUUUUAAUGAUUUGUUAAAAUGGUUACAGGCUCCAAGUUAUUGUUGUAAGCUAGAGUAAUAGGUUGGGUUCUGAUAUCUUCAGUCUUCUUUCAUUCUACUCUCCUGAGCUCUGCAUCUUCUUCACGUGAGUCUUGCUUUACUAAUGAGGGUGAGGUCUGAGUGAGCAGAGGUGCAUACUGGGAUACAGAGAUGUCUGAAGUCUACAGGUCUGUAGACACGCCCCCUCAAGGGAAACCGAGUGUUUGAGAAACUGUCGUGACGUCAGUUACAUGGACUGGAAUGUUCUUAAAGAUGGAGACAGGGGUUCAGAAGGAGAAACACCAGGGGGAGAUGAGGGGGCUCCUCAUCUCAACGACUGAAACACAACUUCAGUCUGACACGGAACCAUGGAACACAUUCAACAGUCCCCUCCAGGCAUCGUGACUCCUCAGGAACAGUUUCAUUUCCAAGAAGGUCUUAAUCUGGGGCCAUCCCCAGAUGGAUCCUGCUCCUCAAGAGCCACCCCCCUCCACUGGGUGGUCUUCUGAACAGAUGACCUCCUUCCUGUCCUCAGGCUGACUAAAGCUGCACCGUUUGCAUUCAGGAAACCACUCGACUACAAAGACAUGACUUCAGAGACGUUGAAUCAACCUCGGACACAUUUUGGAGACGCCAAGCAUAAUCCAUCACCAAUGUGGGACGCCACUGAAGAAUGUUGUACAUAAUUUACGUCUCUGGAGACAUUGGUUGUUCUGUUAUGGGUGCCCUGGCAGGAGAGCUGGGGGGGGGGUGAUGGAAUGUUAUUUGGCAUGAGGUUUUUACCCUGCAUGAUUGUUUGGCCUUUUAUGGCUCAGUGGUGGUGUGUGUGUGUUUGGGUUUGACAUGAGAUGGAAGAUUUUUGAGUAUCGCUAGGGUUCUGUGUGUGUGUUUCCCACUCACACCUGGCAUGGGGUCUGUGUGUGUGUCCGCCUUGCUUUGACAGUGAUAAUGUUCAUACGGGGGUCUGCGUGAUGGGCUUGGGAUAUUGGAAUGGUCAACUAAAUCAUACCUGUUGGACGGCCACACGUUUACUUAAGGGCCUCCAGUAGACAUGAAGAGCCCUGAGCGACGCUCCGGAGCGAUAUCCAAAACACUGGGCAGGAAGGAGAGUACCCAACUCAAGUGUAAAAGGAUGCAAGUGGUGUGUUCAGAUCAGUGACUUCAAACUAGGACUACACCAAUCAGGAUCAAUGGAGGAUGGACACCAAAAGGAAUUCCACAAGGAGAGUCUGACGUUGGAAAGGGACCUAAAUGGAUAUUCAAGAUGACCCUCAGACCUGUAAUGAGACGGCUCUUCCUACCUGGCUGGAUUGAUGGAGAGCCCUGUGGAUCUUGUCUUGCUCUCAGUUGCACGUCUUCUCAGGCUGAACUGUAUUUGUUUCGGACAGGACUAGCUGAACGAUUGGUUCCCUUAGAUCGGAACAAAUCCGGGAACUCCAGCUAGUGCGCUCUUCGAGCUGAAGUGUUACUCUUCAGCUGAGGAGGUAAGGGAACCUUCACUGGGGCUUCAAGAUGUAAAGAGGAGAAUGUUUCAGAGUGUUCCAUUGUACUCUGAUGAAGACCGUUGUGUUCUACUGGCUGAGAGGAAGAACCCACACAUCUUCCUCUUGGCCUUUCUCCUCUGAGAAUCCUGGCGUCAUCUUGAAGGAUAUUCCAUUUCAUGUAACUGAUGUCACGACAGAUUCUCAAACACUUGGUUUCUCCUGAGGGGCGUUUCUAUAGAACUGAAGACUUCAGACAGCACUGUAUCCCAGCAUGCAUCUCUGCUCACUCAGACCACAGCCCAUGAGUAGGAUGCAACACUCUAGUGAUGGCGAUGUAGAGUUUUAUAAGUAACGAGGGAGCAGACUAAGGGGAUUAGAACACAAUGGAAUGUCAAGUCUGUAAAUCUUUAAACCAUGAAGAUGGUUGGAUAGUUCAGGAAUUGGGCUUUUUAAUAUGGGCAGUCUUUUCACUCAGAUGCUCACUUCUCACUGGAGCUGUACAUGUGUUGGCUGGCUGGCAUGAUUUGCUGUUGGUGAUGAGGCGGUCAGGGUGACGUUGCAGGGCUAUGGUUGGCUCUCGGUGAGCUCAACGUUUAGAUUUGCUCUGUAUGGUUUGUACCCUGAAUAAUCUAGAUAAUUGUAAAAUGUAGACAUGGUUUUGUAUUGAUUUUUUUUGUACUGAUUCCAGGAUUUUAGGUUUAAAGUUGUUGUACAUGGUAAUUUGCUUCUUCGUAUGGUUUUGAGUGAUAUAACUUGUACACACUGGGUGCAUAGUAGUAGUAAUGACCAACGGCAACAAACGGAUCUCCUCAAGGUAAGUCUGUUGGCUGUAUUUUUAAUGAAGACCAUCGCUGGACUUCAGGAUCUUCCUCCGUUCAGCUCAAGGUGAGGCGCUGGUUAUGUUUUUUCUUUGGUUGGUUCCGGCCGGAAUGUUCGGAUUCCAGUUGGACGGUUUGUGCUUCCCGCCGUGGAAGGUUCUGAGUGUGGUUACUUGAUUUAGUCCCAAUGGUUAGCAUAGAACGUUGUAGUCUUGACAACCAUAAGAAACCACCUGGCAGUUAGUUGGACGGGAGUCCCCUAAGGGAAUCUGGCGGAACGUUCUCGCUUGUAUUUGCGUAAACUCGUGCCGUUGCCAACGGAAACUAUUUCAGUCGGUUUCCAUGGGGAAUUGUUGCCCCUAUCUUGAACAAAUUAAGUUUAUUAAAUACAUACUGACAUGUACGUCGUACAGUAUGUUGAUAAUUUCCAAUGGUUGCGCCGUACUUUUAACCACGUUGACGGGACUCUCGCUGCGUACAGAACGGCGUUCUACUUGCGGCCCCAUUUUUUACAUCAGUGAAGACUGAAAAUCAUUUCAAGGUGGAAGACAAUUUGACAUUUCUUCAAGGAACCCAGCACCUGAAUAUGGCUGAGUAAAUUUGAUUUAAUAUCGAUACUGCUUAGUGUUCUUUGUUACUUCACCUUUUGUACGUUCUAAAUAUCUGCUGUGAUUUAUUGCCACAGAAGUUAAACCCUACCCAAUAUAAUUGACGUUAAACAACAACUUUGGUGCAGAGUUAGCAACUGGAUAAUAUCGAAGCUAAAAAAAUGGCCGUCAUUCCCACAUGUUACAGUAGAAGAUACUAGAGCUGUGCAAGGUUAAAAAGGUAACAUGUAGUUUGUCCCAAGGUGUCUGCCUCCUCAUCCAGAGCAAGAGCUCCACCUCCUCACCCAGAGCCAGACCUCCACCUCCUGUCAGAAGUCCCCGAGAACAGAUGCUGAUAUAAACCUUCUGCUGUAGCUGAAAGGCGAGGCCGUGAGGACUGAGGAGACUGAGGCUGGAGACCAGCGGCCUGCAGCACCGGACCAUAGGACCAGGAAUCCAUGGCUGAAGGAGCUGAUGGAGGAGUCGUGCUGAAGGCCCUGCCUUGUGGAGGAGCUGGUGGAGACCCGGCCUGGUGAAGGACGUCUGUUGUGGGACCAGGACCCUGUCUGAGGAGAGCUGCUGGAGGAGCUGAGACGCUGGAGGACGACUAGGAAUCGACCAACAAGGAUACCUCAACGUGUUUCUAGAGCGGAGGCGAGCUGGUAGGGGAGCGGUGAACCUGGAGGAUGACCAUCACUCUACCAAUAAGGAUUACUUUAGGGCCAGACUCGCGCUGUUUGUUCCAGACCAGGACUCUGGCUGAGGAGAGCUGAUGGAGGAGCCAAGACUCUGGAGGACGACAUCACUCCACCAACCAGGUGGAGUGAUGUUUGCCUAAAAUAAACCUUCAGACGAAUUACGUUUGUAACCAGACCAGGAAUCUGGAGGACUGAUGGAGAAGCCGUACAUCUGGAAGGCAAAUCCUGAGGACCACCAGCACUACCAUCAAGGAUUCCUCAUAAGUUUGCAUUAUCUGGACAUAGUGGACUAGUCGCACCUGAGCUGAACCUCACCUGAUCCUGUUUGGUCAGGGGUAGACACACCUGAGCUAAACCCGCCCUGAUCCUGACAUCCUGCUGGUCCUGUCUCCUCAGUUCAUCUGAGCCUCGUCCUCCAGAAGACCUGCUGAGCUCAGCAGUCUGAGGCUGAUGGAUCAAUGACCUCCAGUGGGAGUGAUCUUCUUGACCCCAGAUGUAACCGUGUGCUUCCACACGCCUUUCCCUCACGUCUUUCACUAACCUCACUACUUCACUACUCUCUCCUGCUUCCUAUUUUCUUCCUUCUCUGUGGUUCAAACCUUCACACGGUAGGCGCGUCUUCCUGCCCUCAGAGGGUUUAGCGUUAGGGUUGAGAGUCAGGGUUUAGAGUCAGGGACAGAGCUGGUCAGGGAGGACUGCUUUUACACAAACCUCUCCACUUGCUUUCGGAAUGGUGGUGACAUUUUGAAAAGAUUCAUUUGGGAAUGUUUUCCUCGGCUUUCCUUUAAAAAAUUGUAUCAAACUUCUGUCAAGUGUUUUUGUUUAUAUAUUAAAAUCCCACAUUGACUUCUACAUGUUUGGUGCGGUUCAUUUAAUUGUCCUUUAACUUAAUUAAUGUCAAGCUAAACUCCUGCAAUACAUUUAAUAUAUUAUAUUCAGCAAUGUUCACAUAAUCCAUUUUGUAAAAAUAUGAAACCUCCAUUUUACUACUAAAUUCAAGCCUAUUCAACAAUGUACAUACUGCCCCGCAGG